GACAGCCAGGAUGUUGGCUUAGAAGCAGCCAUCAUUUAAAGAAAGCGUAAUAGCUCACUGGUCGAGUCGGCCUGCGCGGAAGAUGUAACGGGGCUAAACCAUGCACCGAAGCUGCGGCAGCGACAUUUAGGUGUUGUUGGGUAGGGGAGCGUUCUGUAAGCCUGCGAAGGUGGCCUGUGAGGGUUGCUGGAGGUAUCAGAAGUGCGAAUGCUGACAUAAGUAACGAUAAAGCGGGUGAAAAGCCCGCUCGCCGGAAGACCAAGGGUUCCUGUCCAACGUUAAUCGGGGCAGGGUGAGUCGACCCCUAAGGCGAGGCCGAAAGGCGUAGUCGAUGGGAAACAGGUUAAUAUUCCUGUACUUGGUGUUACUGCGAAGGGGGGACGGAGAAGGCUAUGUUGGCCGGGCGACGGUUGUCCCGGUUUAAGCGUGUAGGUGUGUGUUCCAGGUAAAUCCGGUUCACUUUAACACUGAGGCGUGAUGACGAGGCACUACGGUGCUGAAGCAACAAAUGCCCUGCUUCCAGGAAAAGCCUCUAAGCAUCAGGUAACAUCAAAUCGUACCCCAAACCGACACAGGUGGUCAGGUAGAGAAUACCAAGGCGCUUGAGAGAACUCGGGUGAAGGAACUAGGCAAAAUGGUGCCGUAACUUCGGGAGAAGGCACGCUGACACGUAGGUGAAGUGAUUUACUCAUGGAGCUGAAGUCAGUCGAAGAUACCAGCUGGCUGCAACUGUUUAUUAAAAACACAGCACUGUGCAAACACGAAAGUGGACGUAUACGGUGUGACGCCUGCCCGGUGCCGGAAGGUUAAUUGAUGGGGUCAGCGCAAGCGAAGCUCCUGAUCGAAGCCCCGGUAAACGGCGGCCGUAACUAUAACGGUCCUAAGGUAGCGAAAUUCCUUGUCGGGUAAGUUCCGACCUGCACGAAUGGCGUAAUGAUGGCCAGGCUGUCUCCACCCGAGACUCAGUGAAAUUGAACUCGCUGUGAAGAUGCAGUGUACCCGCGGCAAGACGGAAAGACCCCGUGAACCUUUACUAUAGCUUGACACUGAACAUUGAGCCUUGAUGUGUAGGAUAGGUGGGAGGCUUUGAAGCGUGGACGCCAGUCUGCGUGGAGCCGACCUUGAAAUACCACCCUUUAAUGUUUGAUGUUCUAACGUGGACCCGUGAUCCGGGUUGCGGACAGUGUCUGGUGGGUAGUUUGACUGGGGCGGUCUCCUCCUAAAGAGUAACGGAGGAGCACGAAGGUUGGCUAAUCCUGGUCGGACAUCAGGAGGUUAGUGCAAUGGCAUAAGCCAGCUUGACUGCGAGCGUGACGGCGCGAGCAGGUGCGAAAGCAGGUCAUAGUGAUCCGGUGGUUCUGAAUGGAAGGGCCAUCGCUCAACGGAUAAAAGGUACUCCGGGGAUAACAGGCUGAUACCGCCCAAGAGUUCAUAUCGACGGCGGUGUUUGGCACCUCGAUGUCGGCUCAUCACAUCCUGGGGCUGAAGUAGGUCCCAAGGGUAUGGCUGUUCGCCAUUUAAAGUGGUACGCGAGCUGGGUUUAGAACGUCGUGAGACAGUUCGGUCCCUAUCUGCCGUGGGCGCUGGAGAACUGAGGGGGGCUGCUCCUAGUACGAGAGGACCGGAGUGGACGCAUCACUGGUGUUCGGGUUGUCAUGCCAAUGGCACUGCCCGGUAGCUAAAUGCGGAAGAGAUAAGUGCUGAAAGCAUCUAAGCACGAAACUUGCCCCGAGAUGAGUUCUCCCUGAGACUUUAGGUCUCCUGAAGGAACGUUGAAGACGACGACGUUGAUAGGCCGGGUGUGUAAGCGCAGCGAUGCGUUGAGCUAACCGGUACUAAUGAACCGUGAGGCUUAACCUUACAACGCCGAAG
rnacentral:rRNA from 1 species